rnacentral:lncRNA from 1 species
GUGGCAUAACAUCAGAAAAUGAUGUAAAUAAUGAGUAAGAAAUGAGUAGGUAUCUACAAUGACGUUUAGCAAAAUGUUUUGUGACAAAGGGGAUGAAUUGAUAUUGAACAGUAAAGAAAAUUAUGGGGAAAUGCUUAAAGUUGGCAUUGAAUGAAUUAAUCUCUGAAUUGCAAAAUUAAGAUAUUAGUGACUGUAAAAAGUGACAUAGAUUAAUCUAACGAAAAUAUACACAAACAACCUCCCCCCCCCCCCAAAAAAAAAAGUUUGAACUUUAUGUUUACAUGCAUUAACAUAGAAAGAGUGAUCCGGCGGCGGCGCGGGCACGACAGUGUCAACAAACUUCAAAGGC